rnacentral:rRNA from 1 species
UACGUAGGUGACAAGCGUUGUUCGGAAUUACUGGGCGUAAAGGGCUCGUAGGCGGCCAACUAAGUCCGACGUGAAAUCCCAAAGCUUAACUUUGGAACUGCGUCGGAUACUGGAUGGCUUGAAUUCGGGAGAGGGAUGCAGAAUUCCAGGUGUAGCGGUGAAAUGCGUAGAUAUCUGGAGGAAUACCGGUGGCGAAGGCGGCAUCCUGGACCGACAUUGACGCUGAGGAGCGAAAGCGUGGGGAGCGAACAGG